UCUGUUACGUCUCUCGGAUUAAAAAUUGGGAUUUUGGACAUUGCACGUCUGCCUGAAUCUCUCUCUCUUGCACUUGGAUCCACACACGCCUGCCCCUUACAGUCAUUGUUGGUUCGCCAGCGAUAGUGUUUUUAGAUACUUAAAAUUUAAAGUUAUUUUCAUCAAUUGUUUACAUUAUUUUGUCUAAACAGAAUGAAUUUACAUUUUUAAAAGCGCUGACUGUGAAGUAGUAGUUUGAUAAAAUAACUUUUUGGUUUUUGGCCAGGGGCUUGUCCACUCAUGGAGCUGAUGAAACUCUCAAAGGAAAAAGACUUAAAUUGCUGUCGAUGGGUGUGGACUACAUACAGUGCAGCGACUGUUCAUACUUAAGAGUUAAAUCAAAGCUGUGUUUGUCUGUUCUGAGCGUAAUAAUUUUGCCAGGCUGUUACUCUAUCUGAUGGCAAACAGUGGAGGACGUAUGGGUGCUGCUACACCGACUGUGGUGAUGAAGAGUGGCAAUGUCACUCAACCCGAACACUCUGUACAAGACAGAAUAGAAGAAAGAUUGUGAAGUUUCGUCAUAAUCAGAGGUGUAUUUGUGGGAAUUGAGCAACGAUGCCUACAGAGCCCAAGAAUGUCUGCUACAGGGAGAUACCACAGUUUACUAGGUGUACAGGAGGACUGCAGCUGCUUCAGAACCAACCAUCAUACAUGGUGAAUCAUGCUGCCUGGAAGCUCAAGGAAGGUACAUGUGGGGUUCUACCUCCCAAACUGGGAGCUGGUUCCACGGCAGAGGAGCGUGAUAACUGAAGGCUUUGCCUCCCAUUCUACUCUUGGAAACUCUAGGAGCCGCAAGUAAGCCUGCACUUUGAGAGCGGAGUGUUCUGUUGG